CAGGAGUUAGCGACAAGGAGGGCCGCGGGCUUGGUUUUAGUGGUGGGGCGGAAGCGGCCAGUUCAGGGCCUCAGGGGGCAGUGGGGGAAAUGGCAGAGGAGACUCCGGGGGGUGGGGAUGCCAAUGCCAGGACGAGGAAGGUCAAAGAGGAGACUAGGUCUGGGGGGAACUGUGGUGGGGAGAGUUGCCCUGAGGGUUCCCGCCGUGACCCCGGGGAGGACAGCCCUUCAGCUGCUGCCUUCUGGGGAAGGGGAACUUGACCUCUGGGAGGGCUGCUCCUGCGUGGCCCCCCGGGGCCCCAGCGCCUUGGUUUGUGUGGCAGGAGGAAGGCAGGUAGAAGCUAGGUGAGACAGGAUCUCGCCACUCUUCCUGUAGAGGAGGCAGACUUGGGCAAUUGAUGCCCGGGGAAUGAGGAGGAGGAAGGAAGGUAGUGGGGUGCAGGGCUGCAGGUGGGCUGCUGGCAUGGCAGGCCUUGAACUUGUCAAUGCCAGCAGCCCCCCCCCUUUUUUUUCCCAGAGGGUUGCGAACCCGCGAGGGGAUGAGGCCUGGUCUUGUGGAAACUGAACUUAGCUUCGCGGGCCGACAGCUCUGGCCCAGGGUAGUAUGUAAUGUUGGUUCGGCUUGGGAUAGAGUCCAGGCCAUGCCCAGCCUGCUGGAACCCAGUUCUGGGGGUGAGGCCAGACCCCUCAUUGGUGGUGAGGGUGGUCUCAAGAGUGAUUGAGGAGGUAAGGUGCCACCUAAGCGUUAUUGAUGUGGUGCCGCAUGUGACAGGCUGGGGAUUGCCGAGGCAGGAUGUUGGUGUGUCUGUGGACAAAAUUGACCCACGCUUUAUUUUCCAGGUGCCAGUGUUUCCAUUCGGACUUUUCUCUCUAGCUUCGGUGCUAACUUCUGUGAGCUCACUCUGCCCCUCCUCCUCCCUUUAGCUUUCUCAAGGUUAUCCAUUCACUUAAAGCAUUGCUUCUGGUAACCUGGUAAGCCUGGGAAAGUUGCUGAAGGCCCUGAACAAUUUGGUUGGUAAUCGCGAAGGAGGGAAGGCCCUCCUUGCUGAGACCCAGGGUGGGGUGGGGUGGGGUGGUGUUGCUUGCCUGCGGAGAGGGUGGGGAUCGAAUGUAUACGUUGGGCGGGCCUGCAGCAAUGGCCCCCGGUGACGGUUACCAAAUGCCUCAUGGACCAAGGUUUGUUACUGUAGUGUUCAUCGUGGUGAUCAGAUGGCACCAGGAGAAUUGGAGCCCCUGGCCAGUGUGAGUCGUAGCAGUGCAGGAGGGGAGACCCUGAAGGAGAGAUCCCGCCUAAGUGGAUGUCUGCAGAUUGAAUUUCCAGAGCCUUAAGAGGUGGAAGUUCUCCUGUGUCCCGUUUCCAGGCCUUGCUCAGGAAGCCCUAUAUUCAGGAGGCCAUUUAAGGUUUUCAGAUGAGCUUAUGAGGGGGCAGUCCUUCAAGGUCCAAAGCAGAUGUGUCCGGCCAUCCACAGAUGUGUUUGAUUGUCUGAUCCAGGAGCAUCAACUUCCAGGCUUAUGAAUGCCAGCAGACACCCCUCCUUUUUUCUGAGGUGGAGGUUUUCAGAUGCUGCAUCUUCUAAAUUGAGCCCCCAGUCAUAACUAGUUCUGGGCUACGAAAUUUGAGCUUCAAGAAGAAUCUUAAAAGCUGUAGGACAUUCUAACAUGCCUCAACGCAGAGUGAUGCCUUGUAGGUGAAUCUUGCAGAUGGAGCCCAGUGACCCUCUCACCUACCCUGCUUCUCACCUGCCUACCUGCCCGCCUGUGCAUUGUUUGGAGGAAUUAGUGUUCUAGUCUAACCUGUAUUUUGGGAAAGUGUUCACAUUUGAAAUGCUUUAGGCAAUACUUAUGCAUACUGGCAAUUUGGGGGAGGGGAAUUGUGUUUUGCUGCUACAGUCUUGGGUAUAAGUUGGUUGUGGCCAAAUUGUUAGAAAUGACAGGUCUAUUUUGGGCAUUCCAAUUGCAUUGCAGAUAACUAAGCAAAGGGAAUGGUUGGGGUACUACCAGUGAUCGUUUAGUUCUAUGUAUUUUGUAAUGUGAAUUUAAUUUCAAGGUAAUCUUAAUGGGACAACUCCGAGGUGAGGGUUGGGCUGCCAUUGGUGCUGGGAGGGGUGGGGGUGAGGAAAGGGAGAGGGUUGGUUUGGUUAGCUGUGUGCUGCAGACGGUGGGGAUGGUAGGACAUGUGGAUUGAAGGGAAUUCUUGUAAAAAGGUCAAGUAGAGCUCUGGGCAUUUGAAUGUAAUAGACAACUGGGCAAAGAAAAGUAGUUAAUGCUAGUUGUCUCUUGGAAGCAUAAAAAUUGCUUAGAAACUUAAAAAGUCCUUUGGAAAUCUGCUAAAUGCAGGUAAAGAAGCAAAAUUGUUUUGUUUUGCUGUAAAGUAGGGAAGACUGAAAAAAAUGUAACUGAACAGGAAUGCCAGUCAUUAAAGGCGGGGUGCAGAAAUUCCCAUCAGCUGAGUAAUAGCCUUCACUGCUUCGCUAGGUUCUUCAGUGGUUUAUGUGAAGGUGUGCAGUACUGGGGAGCUAGAGGUCUUAGGAAAGACUUCAAAAUUGGGUAUUUAAAGUAUUAAAAAGUAUUUAAAACAGUAAGUUCAAAAUUUUGGUGUGCACUUGAGAUUAGAUGUACUUGUGGGUCUGUAACAUUUCUAUUUACUCAAGAUUUUGUGAUUGAAAAUUCUGAACAAAGUGAAAAUGCAAUGACUUUUAAAGGAAUCAUACAUCUCUUUGUGGUCUGUAUUGGCAGCAGUAAAAAAGUCUUGCUAUUCUUGUAAUGGUUUCUGUAAAAUUACUGUAAUAUUUGGUAGCAAACCAUGUGCCCUUGUGAUGGUUAGAGUUAAUUAUAUAUUUAAUUUGAAUGUGCUUUUUAAAUUGAUUUAGUGUUUGAGGGGCAACUCAAUUUGGGGAAUUAGCAAAGUGGAGGGGGACCUGUACUCAGAUGUGGUCUGUUAAAAAUUCAGAGAAAAAUCUGAAAACCAUUUAUGAUGACUUUUAUUUCCGAGAUGCAUCUAUUGAAUUGGUAAGGUAAUACUGGUAGCUUUUUUUUUUCAGUAAUGUUUAUCAUUGCAGCGCUGCAUUUUUUUUUAAGUUUUUAUUUAUUUAUGAGAGACAGAGAGAGGGGGGUGGGCAGAGGGAGAAGCAGCUCCAUGCAGGGAGCCCAACCUGGAACUCCGUCCAGGGUCCCCAGGAUCAAAGGUCCCCAGGAUCAAACGCCGGGCUGCAGGCGGCGUCAAACCGCUGCACCACUGGGGCUGCCCAAUACUGGUAGCUUUUAAUUCUGUGCCUCUUCCCUUAAAUUUCAUUUUAAAAUCCCCAAUACUUGUUGCCUCUGGGAUUUGUCUUCUGGGUUAUUUUUAAUGUUUAAAAACAUGUUGGUAUUGUCCAGUUUUUAAUCAGUGACUUAGUAUGAUGUAAUUGCUGUUACACGAAUUUAAAGAGUAGGAGUCCUGCAUGUAUGGGGCAAUGUGUUUGGGUGUGCUGUUGUGAAAUUGAAGCUGUGGUUAAAGUAUUUGUGUUGCUCUGUGGUAAGAACUAGCCCUGUUGCAUCAUGUACAUUACUAAUCAUUUUUCCUCCCUCUUUACAGCACAAAUAAAGGUUUGAGUUCUAAACUCAUAAUUGUUGUAUUGCUAUGUUAUGAUUUCCGACUUUUAUUUUUGUGUAAAUGAGGUGUUCUUGAUAAUGCAAUUUGUUACAUUACUGUAGAUUUAGACUGAGAUUUGCUCUUCAGUAGUUUUAAAUAAUUGAGGUCGUUUAAUGGAGCGUGGUGAUCUUAAAUAGAACUGGUAGGGCCUGAAUGGCCUGCAGCCUGGUGGAUGGGAAUGGGGGCUCUCCUCCCUGUGGUGUCUAAUGGUUGUGCAAAAUAUGAUACUGAACCAUCCAGCCGAGGAAGGUCAGUGUCAAGGUACUGGGGGAGUACUUUGUAAUAUCCUUGAACUUUAACUGGUUAGGUUUCCAAACCGUACUGUCGAAAAGGGGGCGUAUCAUUCUCUUUGCUUAGAGGAAACGGUCUAAAGCAUACAGCACAUGUAAUCUGUUUUCCAUUUUUGUGGUUUUGAGGAGGCUGGAGUGUAUCUGGGAUUUGGGUCUAACCACAUAAUUCUCCUCUCCAGUACUAAAGAGUUUGGCUUUAUUGGGUGACCAAGAGUUUGAGCUCAGGUGUCUCUGCCGUGAGAACCAGGUCGAGGUUAUGCAGAGGGCAUGAAUCCCGUUUGCCUCAUGGCUCUUAAGUUGAUCAUGUAUCCUGGGUGGGGAUGUGGCAGUGGCUUCAUCCUGGGAGAGAAGCUCUGCUGCUGCUGAUAGGCGUUUACUCUUCGGCCCUACAGGAGACAAAAACUGGGCUCAGAAACUGCUGCCAAAAAAAAAAAAAAAACUGCCAGCCUCUUAAGGCUUUUGUUUUCAAGGGAGCUGAAAGGGAAGCUUACCUCUGAAGGAAAGGUUAAGAUGUGGAAUGGGGAUGGAUGAGUGCCUUGACCUGAACAAGGGGUGGGAGAGCCUGGCCUAAGGAAUUCCUUCAAGAGCAUAACUGGGGCCUCAGGAGCCUUUAUUGUCUGCUACUGAAAAACUGGUGCCAGGCAGGAGGAGGUGGCCGGUUGGGGGGGGAGGCAGAGGUCAUGGAUCUGCUGUGAGUGGGUGCCACUGCUUGCUCCCCCAGAACAAUACACUUUCCUACAUAGUCCUCUCUCCUUUUUUUACCCAAGCCUUCCAUCCGCCCUGCCCUUUCCAAACUUAUUUUUUAUAUGGUGAUUACAAAACUCUUACUUCCAGUCUUAAGGGUAACUGCUAUAAAUGCCUCUCUAAAUGUCACUGUUUCCUAACAACUAUGUUGGGCUGAUAAAGAAUUUCCAUGAGGGUGUAAUGUUUGGUGUGGGCUGAGAGCAGGCAGCUGGGGCCCAUGCCUCCUAGCCUCCACCCAAUCCAGGGGCUCCUGAGAUGGUUGGUGAAAGAGAUUCCUACCUGUUCUGCACCUGCGCCCAAGUGGGGUGGGUUGCAGGUGUUGAUGGCAGUGUUGGUGAUUUUUGCUAAUCAGUUUGCAGUCAUCCUUCUCUGAACUCCCACAGGUAGUGGAUGAUACGAUGAAAUCCAUUAAGUAGAAAAUGGUGAUGUGCAAAUUAAAGGAUUGGGGCAUAAGGACAGCAAAAUGCGCAUUUGGAAGUCCCCUUCAAAAAGAAAAAUAGGGCAGCCCAGGUGGCUCAGGUGGUUUAGUGCCACCUUUGGCCUGGGGCGUGAUCCUGGAGACCUGGGAUGGGGGUCCCACGUCAGGCUCCCUGCAUGGAACCUGCUUCUCCCUCUGCCUCUGUCUCUGUGUCUCAUGAAUAAGUAAAAUCUUAAAAAAAAAAAAAAAAAAAAAAAAGCCUGAGAGUGAGUAUGGGUGGAGGCUCCUCUGGGAGCCCAGGUUGGACCUAGAACUGCAGAAGUGGCUGGCCCUACAACAGGCAUUGGACAGUAACGCCCUCCUCCCCCACCGUCAGCUGCCCUUGGUUUGUCUCAUUGACCCUGAACAAUCACUUUUUUAUGCUGAACCCAGCCUCUCUGUGGCUGUCUCUGGAAGAAAUGUUAACUUCUGGUCUUGUACAAUGCUUUUGUGUGGUGCUGAUAUUAAAUGUGAAACAGGCUUACAGAUUCUUGUAUGUAUUAAGCAUUCAUAUGUAACAAAAAUACACUGAUGCAGCCUGGAAUGGCAAGAGGAAGGUAGCAAAAACAAUUAGAAAUAAAGCCGUGAAGGUGUAAGUACCCAGGAGUAUGGCCUUGACCUUGCUCUGGUGGGUGUCCCCUGUGGACCCCUCAGCUCUGUACCACCUUCCUUCUCUUUAAUUCUUAACUGAGUUCUGCUGUAUAAAGGUUUAUUGUGGGGUUUACAAGUAAAAUUGGGAAAAAACAAAAUCCUCUGUUAAUAAUUGUUAUUGACAUUUGCAUCUAGGGUUUUUCUUCCUACUAUGCAUUGAAUAUGCUUUUUUUUUUUAAUACACUUAAUGUAUAAUGAAACUUCCUGUUUGAAGAGCGUUUGGUGGGGACUGUAAUCUAUUGUAGGGCUGUGUCGAUUGAAACAAUCUCAUUUAUAUGGCAUGUUUUCCAGGUUUUUUUUUUUCUCUUGGGAAGUUGUGAUGACCUGCCCCAAAGCGCACACUUUAUCACAUCUGAUAUGUUUUCUUUGGGAUAUAUUAAUAUAUGAAAUGCCUAUGUCAAACUUAAGACUUUAGGUUCAUUCAUAGGUUAAAUAGCCCUCCCUGGGUGGUAUUUUCUAAAUUAGUUUUCUCACAAUUGAUGUAAACCUGGCUCUGUUUCCCUUCUCCACAGAACAAUCUUGCCGUGUUAAAAACCUUAGAUCCUUGGGUGGAUCCUUGCUGCUUUAUUUACUAGGGCUGUGAGCGUUGCUUUGCUGCUACUAAGACUAAACAUCUGUGUGGAUUGGUCAUUUGUAGUGGUGUGUGUGCAUGCGCGUGCGUGUGCACGCUUCAACUUCCUAUUCUUUAUAAUUUUUUUUAAUUCUUAUUUAUGAUAGUCACAGAGAGAGAAAGAGAGAGAGGCAGAGGGAGAAGCAGGCUCCAUGCACCGGGAGCCCGAUGUGGGAUUCGAUCCCGGGUCUCCAGGAUCGCGCCCCGGGCCAAAGGCAGGUGCCAAACCGCUGUGCCACCCAGGGAUCCCUCAACUUCCUAUUCUUUUGUGAAAGCACAUAUGAAGGAUAUUAAUAAUCUGAUGCAAAAAAAAUCUGAUGCAAAUAUUUUUCCUGGUUUCUAGAUUGCCUUUCAUUUUGUUUAUUGCUUUGGACAUACAAAAGUGACAUUGUUCUGAGGUCGUCACUCUUUAGUUUCUAUAUUUCAUUGUACUUAGAUCUCUCCCAUCUCAAAGGUAUAUAAAUAUUAAUCUAUAUUAUGACACUUAUGGUUUGAUACAUAUACCACAGCUGGUGCUUAUUGUGCCUCCUGUGGGCGGGGAGUGGGAGCUAAUGCCCCCUGAGAGCCCCCAGAGCUUGCUCCCCUCCUGGUUCUGACCCCCCUGGGGCUCCACAAUGGAGUGACAGUCCUGUCAGCCAUGAGGAUUGUUGUCCCAAUGGGACAGUUCACUAGAGAAGACCUUGGGGACAGGCAGGUAUUGAUUGUCCCUACCGGAGUCCUGGUUGUCGCUCCUCCAUGACUCCCCAUUCCACCAUCCUGUUUUGGACAUAGCAACCCCCCACGAGAGAGCAUCAAAAGUAGGUACACAAAGAUGGAUCUGGGUUCUACCAGUGGGGUUCCUGGCAGCUUUAUUUGAAUUUGAAUCAGAACUACCUAGCCCCACCCACCAGGCCUGCUUUCCCUCAUCUGUGAGAUGGCAUAAAGGUAAGUGUGUGUUGGGCACUAGCGUUUACAGUGCUACCUUCCUUUAUUGCUGGGCCUCAGGUCCAACCCCUUGGUCCUUUCCCUCUCCUGCCCUUUAGGCACCUGCUUCCCUUGCUCUGAGCCUUUUAUGUAAUGACAAUCAGUGUAUAUAUUCUGGUCUUGUUCUGGUUUUGCAUUUAAUUUUGUUUCCAUCCACAUCUCCCUGUAUCAGCAGAGUCCACAAACACUGUGGAAAUCAGUUUUUUUCGGGGUAGUUAAUUCUACAGGAAUGGCAUGGAUGGGCUUCUAGAAGUCUGAAUGCUCAGAAACUAUAUUUUUCUGUGAAAAGCAUAAACUUGCCAAAGAGGUCCAGGACCUCAAAAAAGAUCAAACAACUGCAUUAUUUUAUCCCAAAGUACUUAUAGUAUAGGAUAUUUAGUCAAGUCUCUUAAGUUGUAAGCAGUGUUUUGACUAUUUUCGGUCACGCCUGCUGUGAGCAUCUCUUUGAAUUUGGCGACUGCAUUAUAUUCCCUGGAGGGGUGUUGCUUGGUCAGUGAGCAUGCAUGGUUUUACAACUUGUGUCAGAGACUCAGAUACUCUGGAAAGCUUACAUUUCCUCUCGUGAGUCUCUCCAUUUCCCUACAUAGUUGCUAAUACCAGAUUUUUUCAAUUUUUGUAACUUUUUAAAAAUGUAAAAUACAUGUAAAAUAUAUCUUCUUAAUCAUUUUUAGUGCACAGUUCAGUAGAGUUCAGUGUUGUGCAACCAAGCUCCAGAAAUUUUUCAUCUUGCAAAACUGAAAUUACAUACCCAGAAAACUCCCCAUUCCCUUCUCCCUUUAGCCCAUGGUAACCGUUACUGUAUUUUUCUGUUUCUAUGAGUUUGAGGUACCUCAUGUUGAGUAGAAUCAUAAAGCAUUUGCCUUUUUGUGACUGGCUUAUUUUCCUUGGCAUUAGAUCCUCUGGGUUUGUGUUACAGCAUGUGUCAAAAUUUUCUUUCUCCUUAAAAGUUGAAACAAGUGCACCUGGCUGGCUCAGUCAGUACAAGGUGCAACUCUUGAUUUUGGUGUCCUGAGUUUGAGCCCCAUCUUGAGUGUAGAGAUCAAGUAAGUGAGCGGAAACAUUCCGUGUUUGUAUGUAACAGUUUAUUUAUCAUCUGUGAUAAAUGGAUGGCUUCCACCUUUUGGUUAUUAUGAAUAAUGUUGCUAUGAGAGGUGUACAAAAAAGCCUUUUGAAACCCUGUUUUCAUUUCUUUUGGAGAUACACCCAGAAGUGGGAUUGCUGGAUUAUACGUAUUUCUAUUUUUAAUUUUUUGAGGAGCCUCACACUUUUCCAAUAGCAGCUACGCCACUCUAGAGCCCCAGCAGUUUGCAAGAAUUCCAGUUUUUUUUUUUAAUUUUUAUUUAUUUAUGAUAGUCACACACAGAGAGAGAGAGGCAGAGACAUAGGCAGAGGGAGAAGCAGGCUCCAUGCACCGGGAGCCCGACGUGGGACUCAAUCCCGGGUCUCCAGGAUCGCGCCCUGGGCCAAAGGCAGGCGCUAAACCACUGCGCCACCCAGGGAUCCCAAGAAUUCCAGUUUUUGAGGAUGCCUGGGUGGCUCAGUGGUUGAGUGUCUGCUUUUGGCUCAAGGCAUGAUCCUGGUCUGGGGAUUGAGUCCCACAUCGGGUUCCUUGCAAGGAACAUGCUUGUCCCUCUAUGUCUCUGCCUCUCUCUGUGUAUCUCUCCCAAAUUAAUAAAUAAAUAAAAUCUCUUUUAAAAAUUUCAGUUUUCCAUUUGAUCACCAACACUUGUUCUCUGUUGUUUGAAAUAGCAGCCAUCCAACUGGGUGUGAAGUGGCAUCUCAUUGUGGUUUUGAUUUGCAUUAACAUGAUGGUGAUGUUAAGCAUCUUUCCCUAGAAUUGCUGGCUGGCCAUUUGUGUCUUGUUUUUUUUUUUUUUUUUUUAAUUUUUUUAUUUAUUUAUGAUAGAGAGAGGCGCAGAGACAUAGGCAGAGGGAGAAGCAGGCUCCAUGCACCGGGAGCCCGACGUGGGAUUCGAUCCCGGGUCUCCAGGAUCGCGCCCAGGGCCAAAGGCAGGCGCCAAACCGCUGCGCCACCCAGGGAUCCCUUGUGUCUUGUUUGGAGAAAUAGUUUUUCAAGUCCUUUAUUCGUUAAAACUGGGUUAUUUUUUAUUGCUAUUUGUAGUUCUUCAAAUAUUUUAGAUAUUAACCAUUUAUCAGAUCUGUGAUUUACAAAUAUUUUCUCCCAUUGUAUAGGUUGCCUGUUCAGUCUGUUCAUGGUGUCCUUUGAUGCCCAGAAGUUUUUAAUUCUUGUAGUCCAAGUCAGUUCUUUUUUUUUUUUAAACCUUUGUUACUGUGCUUUUGGUGUCCUGUCCAAGAAAUCCUUGCCAACUCCAAUGUUCAUGAAGUAUUUAUUGCUACUUUUAAAAGUCCUUUGGGGGGAAAAAAAAAGUCCUUUGGUAAUCUUAAUCCGUGUUUUUGAAUUUAUUGGUUAGUCUCUUUUGCCACUUGAUUUACCAUCUGCCUCUUCCUCUGACCACUUACCAUAUGAAAUUCCAUAUUGGUUUUCAUAAUGAUCAUGCACUCUGUUCACUUUGGAAGAUCAGCUUUUGCCAGUUAUGAUUGUGGAAUUAACUGUUUUUUUUCCUUUUAUUGUUGGUGCAAAAAGUAUCUGUUACAUGAGGACUUUUUAAAACAUUUCAUCUACCAAGUCCAGCGGUAACUACUACUAAGUCUGUUAGGUUUGCUUCUGAUUUACUUUUUCUUUGGUAUCUAAACUCAUCACCAUUUAAGGAGUUAUGAAUCCACCUUAGGAGUGGGUUUAAAUUAUACUUACAAAGUUGAAAUGUCAAACUUUUAUUGAGGAACCCCUCUCUUUACUUUGCUCCAGGUCAGUGUUAGUGUCUGAGGAUCAUGUUCCUAAAUCGCUAGAGUUUUUAGCCUCUAGUUUUUGUUUCUAAUCAAAUACAGCAAAUUUUAAUGACCGUCACUGCUUAUUAUGUUUUAAAAUCUAAUAAGUGGAGGCUCUGCUACUUCUUAAAGCGCAAAUAUUCUCUCCCUGUUGGAACUGAAGUACACAAAACUAGGUUAAUCUUUGGUUGGUGACAUAACAUGGCUCUCUUAUUUGCUUCCUUGAUGUUUUUAAUAAUGUGGUAAGCAUUUCUGAAUCGUCUGUAUAGUAUGAAAACUAGGGCUUUAGGCAGUAGCUUCCUCUACCCAUGUGGUUGUCUCCCCUGCUCUCCCUCUGUCCCCCCCCCCCAUCUCCCUGCCUCAUUCUAGGCCAGCAUAUCUCAUCCUGAAUACAGGGUUUACCAUUACUUUCUUUUCAUAGAACUAAAAAAAAAAAAAAAAAAAAAAAGAAAAAUCUGCCUAAGUGUAUUUUUUAAGGAAGCUGCAGGCAUUCACAGCCCCUCUGGGACAGUACAGCAGAGAAGCUCUACCUCUCUGUGCUAUCUGGGUCUGGGACUCUCUGUUUAGCACAAAGCAAGAAUGGCCUUAAUAAGACUCAGUCUACUUCUGCUGUUCUUUCCCCUAAGCAGAUUGAAAAACAAACUAUUCUAGGAUAGCAGUUGUGACAUUUGCAGAAAGCAUUUAAUUAUAUUGUUUGUUUGGUCUGUUGAAAUCUCAUUGGGCUUCUGUCUAUAGGCAUUUCUAAUCCUAAGUGGAAAAGGAGUGCGCUUCAGUGGGGCACAGUCCAUUCCCUCUCCUGCUGUCUAGCUUAGCACCAGCUUGGCUGAUUUAAGUACCUGCUGUCUCUGACUCCAUCAAGUGCCAAGAGCACAGGUGUGAACCCGGCUCUGUCUCAUACUCACCUAUUAGCGUCACAGAGAGCUUAACAUUGGGAACCCUGAGAUUGGUUCACUGUAGCCCUGACACCUCUGUUGAUGUAAUAGCUGUGUGGCCAGCUGUCUGGGUGUCAGAGCAAGGCCCUGCCUCUGCUCUAUGCUGACCUGACAGCAAGGCUCUGCUAGUUUUUUUCUAGUUCAUUUAAAGAUGUAAAAAUGUUCAAAGUGAAAUAGCUGCAGAUGUUAAAAAUUGCCUCGGUUGGGAUCCCUGGGUGGCGCAGCGGUUUGGCGCCUGCCUUUGGCCCAGGGCGCGAUCCUGGAGACCUGGGAUCGAAUCCCAUAUCGCGCUCCCGGUGCAUGGAGCCUGCUUAUCCCUCUGCCUAUGUCUCUGCCUCUCUCUCUCUCUCUCUGUGACUAUCAUAAAUAAAUUUAAAAAAAUUAUAAAAAAAAAAAAAAAAAGAAAAAUUGCCUCGGUUCCUAUAGAGGCAACUAUUGUGGCCAGUUGCUGGAGUUUUUCUGGAGAAUCCUGUGUAUAUAUUUCACUGUGGAGGUCCUGGUACACCACACACCCUGUCUUGCACUUUGAAUUGUUAAGUUAACGGUACAUCAAGGUGCUCACUGCAUCUUUUUUUUAUGGUCUCCCUUGGGCUUUUCCACAUCUGUGUCAUAGUCCAUGUUUGAAUUUCUCAUUUCCCUUUUGGGGAACAAUUUGUUUCUAGCAACCUUUAUUGUAUAGGAGGCUAUACUGAAUAUCCGCCUACAUGGUUCUUUGUAUGUGAGAAGUGACAAUAGUAUUUCACGGUAGUUUUGAUUUCUUUCGGGCUGUGGGCUUAUGGAUUUUCAAAGAGCUCUUUAUAUACGGAAGAAAUUAACCCUUUGUGAUUUGUGCUACAAAUACUUUCCUGUUAUUGAUCAUGAUUGUACAUUUCAUGCUAAAAUUUUGCUGGUCAGGGUUUUAACCAUACUUAUUUUUUAUCACUGUUUUCUUUUAUGGCUUCCAGGUUUUAAGACUCAAGUUGGAAAGUACCCCCCUUAAAGAUAGGCACACCUCAACCUUCCCCAGCCCACCAGCAGCACAGGUUCCCCCAGCCCAGCCCUUGGCUGUUUUGGGUUUUAUCUUUGCUAAUAGGAAAAUCGAGCUUCCCCGUGUUUUAGUUUGCAAACCUUUGAUCCUGUGAAGCUGAAUGAACACUUUGUUGGCUGAUGUGUGUGUUGCUUUGUGUUUCACUUACAUUUUUACUUCCAGAGAAUUCUUUACCCUUUGCCCUUGUAUACUGCGUUUACCCUUGUAUAUAACAAAACAUUUUUCAAGUUUAUAGUUGCUUUUCUUUUUUCUUUGAGUAUAGGGGACACACCACGUGGCGCUGGUUUCAGAUUGUAGUUUGCCUUUAAAUUUACAUGUUGGAGGGGUGCCUGGGUGGCUCAGGAGUUUGACCAUCUACCUUCAGCCCAAGGUGUAUGUAAUCCCAUGGUCCCGGGAUCAAGUCCCGCAUUGGGCUCCCUGCAUGGAGCUUGAUUUGGUCUCUGUCUCUUAUAAAUGAAUCUUUUUUUUUUAAUUUUUAUCUAUUUAUGAUAGUUACACACACAGAGAGAGAGAGGCAGAGACAUAGGCAGAGGGAAAAGCAGGCUCCAUGCACCGGGAGCCCGAUGUGGGAUUCGAUCCUGGGUCUCCAGGAUCGCGCCCUGGGCCAAAGGCAGGCGCCAAACCGCUGCACCACCCAGGGAUCCCUAAAUGAAUCUUUUAAAAAAAUAUUUUUAAAAAUAAAUUUACAUGUUGGAUCCUGCUGAUGUAAGUUUUAAGUUUGGUCAUCAAAUCUCUUACUGUUAUGGUUUCAUACUUUGAUAUUCUAUAUUUUCCACUGGUUUCUUUGUGCUUUAGUUUUUGACAUUUGACAUAUCUAUGGCUCUUUAACCUAUCUAGAAGUUUUUUGGGUGUUUGUAUAGUAGGAGGUAAGAAUCUUAAUUAUUUCAAGAUGGCUAGCUGAUUUUCUAAGUACCACUUCCUGAAUAAUGCUUUCUCUGCUAAUCUGAAAUGGUGUGCACUUGUAAGUUAUGGGCUAAAUACUUCAAUAUAAUUGAGUCUAUUUCUGAACUUUCUAGUCUUCCACCAAUUUGUCUUUCCUCUGCUACCAGUGUUUCAUUUUAUUAGCUUCAUUGUAUCUUAUUAUAAUGUGUGUUAAUACAAGCCUCUGGCAUUCUUUUUUAAGGUAUUCUGAUUUUUACUGGAAUUGCAUUACAUUUAUCAAUAUAUUAUGAUAUUGAGACUUUGCAUUUAGGAACUGGCCUCCCUGUUCAGGAUAGGAUGACUUUUAUGUCCAUCAGGAAUUUCAGACUUCAUGUGCAAGUUAGGUGCAUUUAUGAAGUUUGCUUCUAGAAAUGUUAUUCAGUGUUGUGGUUAGAGCUAUUUUUCCUAUUAAAAUUUCUGAUGAUGGUACCAUGUGUUUAAGACUUUGUUUUGUUUAUAUACUUUCUUAAAUUAUUCAUGAGAGGCACAGGCAGAGGGAGAAGCAGGCUCCUUGCAAGCAGCCUGAUGCAGACCUUGAUCCCAGAUCCUGGGAUCACGCUCUGAGCGGAAGGCAGACACUCAACCGCUGAGACACCCAGACAUCCCAGCAGAUAUUUUAAAUGUCAACAUUUGCAUAUUUAUUUUAACAGGUAUUCAAAAAUUGGUGAUAAUUACGUAUUUCCUCUUAAAAAUAUUUUCCUCUUCUUAAUUGAAAUAUCCCACACGUACUAUAAAAUUCAGGCUUUUGAAGUAUAUAAUUCAGUGGUUUUUAGUAUAUUUACUGUGUUUGCAACCAUCACUACUAUCCAUUUCCAGAACUUUUCCAUCUUCCCAAACAGAUGUCUGGUACCUAUCAAACAGUAACUUCCCAUCCUGCCUUCCCGCUGGUCCCUGGUAACCUUAUUAUAUUCUCUAUCUCUCUAAAUUUGCCUGUUCUUGGUCCCCAUUCUAGGUACCUCAUGUAAGUGAAAUCCUAAGGUAUUUGUCCUUUAGUGUCCAUCUUUGUUCAGUUAGCAUAAUGUUUUCAAGGUUCAUUCAUGCCAGGGCGCAUAACAGUUCCUUUGUGAGGCUGAAUAAUAGCUCAUCGUGUGGCUAGACCACAUUUUGUUUAUCCAUUCAGCAGUUGGACAUUUGGGUUAUUUCCACAUUUUGUGGGAUUAUGAAUAAUGCUGCUAUGAACUCUUUAUGUGAACAUGUUUAAAUUGUCUUCGGUAUGUACCUAGGAGUGGGACUGCUUGCUGGGUCAAAUGAUAACUUUAACUUUUUGAGGAACUGCCAAACUGUUCUCCAGGGUAGCUAGCUGCACAUUUUACAUUCCUGCCAGUAACUUUUGAGAGUUCCAGUUUCUCCACAUCUUCAACACUUGUUCUUAUCUGUCUUUUUUUGUGGUUUUUAUGUAAGCUCUAAGCCCAUUGUGGGGCUUGACCUCAUGACCCAGAGUCGCAUACUCUUCCAACUGAGCCAGCUAGGCACCCCUCUGGCUUUUCAAUUGUAACCAUCCUAAUUAGUGUGAAGGAGUAUCUCAUGUAAUUUUGAUUUGCUUUUUUCUGAUGACUAAUGACAUGAAACACCUUUUCAUGUGCUUGUUGACCAUGUAUAGAUCUUUGGAGGAGUGUCUACUGAUCCAUUUGUUCCCUUUUUUAUUGGGUGUUUAUCUUAUUGAAUUGUAAAAUUCUUUCCAUAUUUGGGAUACUAGACCCCAAUCAGAUGAUUUGCAAAUAGGUUUUUCCCUUCUGGGGGCUAUGUUUCUACUUUCUUGGUAGUGUUCUUUGACAUAAAUUUAUUUUUUAUUUUAUUUAUUUAUUUUUUAUAAAUUUAUUUUUUAAAAGUAACUUGAUUAAGGGGAAAAAAUAGGACUGGCCAUAUUCAGAUGUGGCAAAAAAUCUCCAGGUAUUGUGUGAAUGAUUGAUGUUUGGGAGCAGAGAAUAGAGUGUGACCCGAUCCUGUAGUGUGAUGUGGGAUCACUUACUCUGGUGUGACCUUUCACAUACAGUGUCCCCAAAUGUCGCCUGGUACUUGUGUUGGGAUCAUCUGUCAGUAGAUUGCUUAGAAGUUUUUGUUUUGUCUUUUAAGUCUGUAAUAGAUACGGAAUUUAUUCAACUGUCUUUCCUGCAUCUUUUUAGAUGAGCAUCCAGUUUUUCUCUCACUUUCUCAUGAUUAAUUGCAUCAUGGAAUAUUAAGCCCUCCUAGGAUUUCUGAGACAAACCAUUCCAGGCCUGGAACUUUAUUCUGUCACCACAGAAAUGAAUCAGAAGGUCCACUGCAACUUAAGGGCGCUGUCAGUGUAUUUGGUACUUGGAGAUUCCAGGCGGCACAGGCCGCCCCUGCUGUGUGGAGCACUUGAUGCUGGCAGUGCCAAUGGGAACCUACACCCUACCCUGUCCCCAACCGUCUUCUCCUUUGCAUUUGAAUGAAGUGCCUGUGUGUUGGAAUUUUCAGCUGGUGAAUUUUGAAACUGUUUUUACAUCUCUUUUCUGUUUCCUGCUCAUAUACAUGUUUAUCUUA